rnacentral:tRNA from 1 species
GCCUGGGUGGCUCAGUGGUUGAGCAUCUGGCUUUGGCUCAGGUAGUGAUCCUAGGAUCCUGGGAUUGAGUCCCACAUCGGGCU